UCGUUCUGCUAUCCACGUCAUCACAGGUACCGACAAAGAAAAACGCGUUGGCUACCGCGCGUCUUCCCCGCGACCCCCGCCUCCUGUCCUACCGCCGCCGCCGAUGCCCGUGACCUAGCCCGCGUGUCUCCCCCACGACCCCCGCCUCCUCUCCCGCUGCUGCCGCCGCCGGCGCCGGCGCCGGAGAAGCUCGCCUCCGCGCCCACAAGCCUCGGAUCCGGGACGAGGAGGGGUGGAUGAGACGGGGGAGGAGGAGGAGGAGAGUGUGGGGGUGUCUGGGGAGGAGCGAGGGGUGAGAAGAUGAGAGGGAGAGAGAGAAGAGGUGGUGUAGCAGGGCCGGACCGCCGUCCUCUUCCACUCCAUCAACAGGCUUUCUCAACAGCAGGCUGCACCACCGCUCGAAAGCCACCGGUCUUCUUCCACUCCAUCAAUAGUUAGUUAGUCAGCCGCCUCCCAAUGAACAACACACAGUCUGGAUACUUCCUUGGGUCAAUUCCCCUGUUUUUUCACUGUCAUAUUCAUCAGCAAUUUCAGCGGCAGGGAGUGCUUGCCAUAGUGGAAACGAAGCAAGAACUGGAUGGAGCUCAGGAUUUUGCUACUACCUUGCUAAUAGCUUUGUGAGGCAUGUCACCGAUGGCAAGUGCAAGAAGAAAGCACCAAGGAAAAUCCACAAAUCCAAGAGGCAGAAGCAUAAGCGUGUCCUGCUCAAUGAUCUCUUGGGUGAACUUAUCAAAAUGCUAGGUGAGUUAAAUAGGUGUGCAUCAAUCACUAGCCCCCUCGACACCUUAUAGAUUACGUCACAGCUAGCGUUGCUUCAGUGAAGCUGUCUCUUAAUUUGGGGGGUCGUUCAUGUUGUUACAAUCCAUGUCCAAUUGUCCAAGUCAUGCUUUUGGGGUGAAUACUGGGGUUCAGUAUGUGUCAUGGAUUUCUUUAGUAGAUCCCAAUGAAUGUUUAUGCCGCUGAAAACGUGGAUGACCUCAUUGAAAAUUAGUAACACCAGAAGACCUCUCGAUGUUUGUUGACAAUUCAUUACAUUGUGCAUAAUUGUCAGCAUAUAAAACUGUGUAGUACCUGCAUCCAUUAAUUCCAAUCUUUUUCUAAUCCAUCUGUCUCAGGCUCUCAGCCAUGCAUCUUGCAUCAAACUGUAUGUGCCUUGGAGUAUAUUGCUUCUUAUAUUGCACCCAUUAUUAGUGAAGAAAUUGCGAAAUGCUUACUAUGCAUGGUGAUUAUUUAAUCAGAGUAACAUCUGACAUGAAAAGGCACUUCAAAUCAGGGCUAAUUUUCACGCCUGAAUACCUUUUACUUAGAACAAAGUACUGGUACAUCUUCUCUAUUUUUAAAUGUAGCCAUCCCACUCUCCCUGGAAGCCCCGCCCCCUGCUACAUUUUCAUGGUCACCGCCCCCAGGAACGGCUACAAGAGGAAGCGACGCACAAGGUUUCUUCUCGCCUUCUUCUGGUUUUUCUCUUUGAUAUCCAUUUGUUGCCUUGGGUAUUUCUUGAUUCCUUCUCUUGUGUGUGUGUGUGUGUGCGCGCGCGCGCGCCGGGUGGGAGCAUCUACUGCACUAAUAGAAUGCCAAGCAUAGGAAGAGGCUCCCCAAGAUGACAAUUUGGUUGGUGUCAUGUUCUGAAUGCAUGGUGAUAUUGAGCACGUACAAGGCUUUCCGAUUCAACCGCAAUUUCCAGGGUAGUUGUUCUAGCAGGAUAUUGUAUUUGUUACGGAAAACACGGAUGAGUAAUUACAUGAUAUAUUAUUAAUAUUAAACUGUGUUGUUUCUCUGAAACUAACUUGGUAUUUCAGCUAUGGAAACUGAUGUUCUAACCUUAGUUCCAUAGAUGAAUCUUUGUUGUCUUUUUCAGAAAGGGAAUGUCUGGUAUAUCUUUCUUUGUGGAUUUAUUCAAUGAGUUUUCUACAUUGGGCUGCAUUGUUAAGAAAGAGUUUGAUGAUGCCACAAGAGCAAGAAUUAAAAGUCGUUUGUAGAACCAUGUUUCCUCAUGGCAGGAGGCGAGCAAUACUUUACUAUUACAAUGUUCAUUUUCAAUACAAUCAGAAGUAUGACACUGAUUGUCAAUUGUGCGUUCAUGCAGGUUGCGCGUUCAUGCAAUACUUUACCCAUGAAAUAGAAGAGUUGUGCAGGCGUGUGAUUCAAGUUCUUCGACGGAAUGGGCCCAACUCAUUCAGUGAAGAAAUUUCAAGGUUCUCUUUCGGAACUGGUUUGAGCUUCUAUAAGUUCAGUUUGAAGAACAGUAUCACAGAAUAAGGAAUCAUGAAAAUAAUGAGGUAACAGCAGAGGGUGAGUGUUGCAAAAAAGAUUGACGACUGGAGCUAAAAACAGGCAAGAGAAUGUACAGAAAAGCCUUACUUUAGAUUUAGCCAGUAGAGCACGUGCCCUUCGCAUAGGGAUAAUAACUUUUAGUAAAACAGCAGCACCGGUUUGAUUCAGGGUAUACAAUAUCUUACAAACAGUCAAGGAUUCACCAACUCACCAGUCAAGCAUUAGAUAGAUAACAAAAAGGUAGGAAUAACAUGUGUGCAGAAGUACAUUCCUACUCAUCAUGAGGACAGGUGUCAAGAAGGAACUAGGGAUACC